rnacentral:rRNA from 1 species
AUACGGAGGGUGCAAGCGUUAUUCGGAAUCACUAGGCGUAAAGGACGCGUAGGCGGGUUGGCAAGUCAGAUGUGAAAUCCUACAGCUUAACUGUAGAACUGCAUUUGAAACUGCUAACCUAGAGUAUGGGAGGGGGAGAUGGAAUUAGUGGUGUAGGGGUAAAAUCCGUAGAUAUCACUAGGAAUACCGAAAGCGAAGGCGAUCUCCUGGAACAUAACUGACGCUAAGGCGUGAAAGCGUGGGGAGCAAACAGGAUUAGAUACCCUAGUAGUCC